CACGUAGGCACCAAGCGUUGUCCGGAUUUAUUGGGCGUAAAGAGCUCGUAGGCGGUUGAGUAAGUCGGGUGUGAAAACUCUGGGCUUAACCCAGAGCCGCCACCCGAUACUGCUCUGACUUGAGUUCGGUAGGGGAGCAGGGAAUUCCUAGUGUAGCGGUGAAAUGCGCAGAUAUUAGGAGGAACACCGGUGGCGAAGGCGCUGCUCUGGGCCGAUACUGACGCUGAGGAGCGAAAGCGUGGGGAGCAAACGGG
rnacentral:rRNA from 1 species